rnacentral:rRNA from 1 species
AUUGAACGCUGGCGGCAUGCCUUACACAUGCAAGUCGAACGGCAGCAUGGAGAGCUUGCUCUCUGAUGGCGAGUGGCGAACGGGUGAGUAAAGCAUCGGAACGUACCGUGUAGUGGGGGAUAACGUAGCGAAAGUUACGCUAAUACCGCAUACGCACUGGGGUGGAAAGCAGGGGAUCGCAAGACCUUGCGCUAUACGAGCGGCCGAUGUCAGAUUAGCUAGUUGGUAGGGUAAAGGCCUACCAAGGCGACGAUCUGUAGCGGGUCUGAGAGGAUGAUCCGCCACACUGGGACUGAGACACGGCCCAGACUCCUACGGGAGGCAGCAGUGGGGAAUUUUGGACAAUGGGGGCAACCCUGAUCCAGCCAUGCCGCGUGAGUGAAGAAGGCCUUCGGGUUGUAAAGCUCUUUCGGCCGGGAAGAAAUCGCACAGGCUAAUACUCUGUGUGGAUGACGGUACCGGCAUAAGAAGCACCGGCUAACUACGUGCCAGCCGCCGCCGUAA